GUAGAAUAAAAAGUGAGUGUCAUAUGGCAUUAAUAGAAAUACUGUGUUGCUUUGCACGUAGAGUAGUACGGUUCUGUUCUGUUCAUUUCGAUCUGUCAUUUACAAUGGCUCAAUCAAGCAUUGUCUGGUCUCGCAAGGCAAUCGCAAGUAGAGAUGCAACCCUGCAAGUACCCUGCGAAAGAGCUCUUCCAUAGAAAAUAAAGUUUCAACUAAGAUGGAUCUUGUGGAAGUAGAAGCCUCAAAUAAUUCAAGAUGGGAAUGUUCUUUUCAUUGCAAAAAAAAAGUAAGUGCGAUUUGGUAAUUUUGUUUAGAAUAGUUUGAAAUUUAAGUAUGGAAAUAAAGAUACACUUGAUAUUGUCCAGUCCAAA